ensembl:scaRNA small Cajal body-specific RNA 3
ACUGGAAGCUGCAAAACCAACCAUGUAGACAAAGGAGAAAAUGCCUUUGUUUGCAGAAGGCAGCGGUCCUACAUGAAUAUGGAGGUCUCUGUCUGACUUAGAAUAGCUGGCUGAGUCUGAUCGUUCCCCUCCAUACAAC